UGUUACCGUGUGACGCAGAGGAGUGUAAUCCAGGAAUAGAACAUGACAGUAUCACAGAAGGACGUGAAUGUGGGGUUGAACUCUGUAGAGACUGAAGCCCUGCAUAUACUGUACCCAGUGAUCAGCUUUUACUUCAGUCGCUACAAUCUCUGGCCCCAAUCAUCAUACCCCGAACCUCCUGCCAAAGACAAGGGAUAUCAGUCAAAGGACCCCGAGAACACAGAAGAGCAAGAAUAAAGGAUGCGCUGGGAAGAUGGAGCUUGAUGAACUCUGUGAAAGCAGCUUUAGAGGAGGAAAGAGUGCAGCUAUUCUGAAUCUUAAAUAACUCCUACAUUAGUGGAAGCU